CUCGUUUGUCUGUGUCUGCUCUUUUCCUUCAGCGCUUUACUGGACAAUGAAAGUCUGAAGGGGGAUUUCUCUUCAACAAAUCAGCUAAGGAGUACCUACAUCUCUGUUGGAGUGCCCAGCUCCCGAGGGGUUAAGCAAAGCUUCCAGACACAGCUGGCUACCAGUCACAUGAUCAGGCCCAUCUCUACCAUCCAUAGAGCAAGUCCACGAUCCAAUGUGACAAUGAUGUCCGCAUCACCAAUCUGGACUCAAAAUCGGGUAACCCUGAAUGAAACACCUGAGAGUUGUCGAAAGACAGAAGAGCAUAUCGACUUUGGCGUAGGGUCCAACCACCAGGUAAGUUGUUCAACGCCUUACCUCAAAGUACCACAGGACGGAAUUUCAGUCCACCACUUCAGACCCCAAGAUGUCCAUAUAGAAGUCAACUAUGCUGAGCCUCUCUCACCUCCCACUGAAGAGGCAGGAGCUGAUGUUGUAUCUUUGCUUGGAUCUGACCACAAGGAACAAUCCAUGUGGGAUAUGGAAAAGGAGGAAGAGGAUCAGAACAUAGUCAGAACCUGGUUUGCUGAAGAGAAACCCGUUCUGGAAUCUGCCAUGAGUCACCGGGUCGAGACCAGCUUCAGUAUGCCAACUGUGUUCAGCACUGAUGCUCAAGAGCUCUACAGCCCUUCAGUGAGCUAUGAGAGAGCAGGUUCGGUGACAGGGGCACAUUCUGCUUUCUCAGCGAAUGAUGAUAAUGAUGUACCUUUUGAAAUGUAUUUUGAAAAAGAGGAACCUCUACUAGAUAUGCCUUACGGUCCCAUGAAUGCAUCGGAGGAAAGAGAGCUUGAAACAGCAAAGAAAGAUGCUGAAUGGGCGAGAAACGAAGGCUUGGAAUCUGAAACUGCAUCAGUGCUAGAGCAAGCAUUUGAAACCUUCACAAGCAGUCAAGCUUUUGAGUAUGGGGCGGGGAAAAGUUACAACAAGCCAAUAGAGUUCAACCAAGAGGACAAUAUGUCAUAUGAAUCCACUCAAGCCUCCCACGGUUCAGAAGAGGCAUUUCGCCAUGUUAAAAGACUGGAGGAAGAUGUUAUUCAUCUCCCAAAAGAGGAUGAAAAUGAUAUGUCUAACAAACAUGAGGAGCAAUUGGAAGAUGAAUUGCACCCCUAUGGGUAUGGUAACGAUGAUUGUGAAAGAUUGGGAGGAUUCAUUAAGGAAAAUGACAUGACAGAAAGAAUCGAUAAGUUCAACCAAGAGGAGAUUAUCUCAUAUGAAUCUGCUCAAGCUUCUCACUGGUCAGAAGAGGUAUUUCACCAUGUUGAAAGAGUGGAGGAAGGUGACAUAAAUUUCACAAAAGUGGAUGAUGAAAAUGAUAUGUCUAACAAACGUGAGGAACAACAUGCACUGAACCCCAAUGGGGAUGUAAAGGAUGAAUGGGAUCGAGUGGCAGGGUACAAUGAAGAGAAUGGAAUUGGAGAAAGAAUGGAUGAUUGGAAAGAAGCAAAGUAUCAUGUGAAAGAGGAAGAGAUGUGGAAUAACAGAGAAGCCCAACCCAAUCGGUCUGAUCAAGAGUAUAUACCUUCAAAUGAAGAGAAACAAAAUCUAUUCGAGCAAGAGCAAAUACCUUCAGGCAGAGAGAAACUGAAUCAGUCUGAGCAAAGGUAUAUCAAUUCAAACGGAGAGAAACUGAAUCAAUCUGAGCAAGAACAUAUACCUUCAGGCGGAGAGAAACUGAAUCAAUCCGAGCCAGAGUACAUAACUUCAGGCGGAGAGAAACAGAACGUAAAUGCACAAGAACACAUAACAACAGACGGAGAGAAAAUGAAUCAAUCCGAGUCAGAGUAUAUACCUUCAGGUGGAGAGAAACUGAAUCAAUCCGAGCCAGAGUACAUAACUUCAGGCGGAGAUAAACUGAAUAUAUCCGACAAUGACAAAGAGGAUCAUGAUGAGGCAAACUACUGUCAAAAUAAUUCUGUUUCAUGGAGGGCUGAGCUAGAAGGCGACAGCUAUGCUCAGGACAACACACUAGCCGACACACACCCCUUGAUCCGUUACAAGAGUGACGAGACGGAUGUCAACACUCUGGCUUCACACAUGGGCGAGAGCGACUCCAGUGAUGGUGAAGAGGACAGGGAGGUUUGCCAGACAGGAACAGACACCUGGGGCGAAGGCAAGUCCAAACAGUUUGACACCAUGGAGGAUCUGUAUGAAGAGUCAGAAGGAGAUGUCAUAGAUCAGGAACGUCACAUGGGCUCCACUCACCAAGGCGACGUGGAUGCUAGCCAAACAAAGGAGCAUGCUACACAGGAGAACGAUGAGGAGAAUGCUGUAGAUCAGUUGAUUCAGGAGGCAGAAGAGGAGCAAUCCUAUGAGGAACUUACAGAACCUGGAGAGUACUCCAUGGUGUGCUCUGAUGAGGACUAUAAUGAAGAAAGAAUUGAUAGAUUGGUGGAGCAAGAGCUAGAGAAUUUAUCUAUAUCCAGUUACAGUGAACACUUUACUGGGCAGAUGAUUGAGAGCGAGUCAGUACUGAGUCUUCAAAUUGAGUCUCACACUGAACUUUCCCAGACACAAGACAUAUUAUACAGUGAGGAGGUAGAGCAGAUACACUCAGAGAGACUGAAUCAAACUGAGCAAAAGUAUAUACACUCAGAGAGACUGAAUCAACCUGAGCAAGAGUAUAUACACUCAGAGAGACUGAAUCAAUCUGAACAAGAGUAUAUACCUUCAGGAGGAGAGAAACUGAAUCUAAAUGCACAAGAACACAUACCCACAGAUGGAGAGAAUCUGAAUCAAUCUGAACAAGAGUAUAUACCCUCAGGCAGAGAGAAACUGAAUCUAUAUGUGCAAGAAAACAUACCCUCAGAUGGAGAGAAAAUGAAUCAAUCUGAACAAGAGAAGAUACCUUCAGGCGGAGAGAAACUGAAUCAAUAUGAGCAAGAGCAUAUACCUUCAGGCGGAGAGAAACAGAACGUAAAUGCACAAGAAAACAUACCAACAGACGGAGAGAAACUGAAUCAAUCCGAGCCAGAGUACAUAACUUCAGGCGGAGAGAAACGGAAUCAAUCCGAGCAAGAGAAUAUACCUUUAGGUGGAGAGAAACGGAAUCAAUCUGAACAAGAGAAGAUACCUUCAGGAGGAGAGAAACUGAAUCAAUCUGAGCCAGAGUAUAUAAUUUCAGGCGGAGAGAAACUGAAUCAAUCUGAACAAGAGGAUAUAACUUCAGGCGGCGAGACACUGGAUAUAUGUGAGCAAGAACAUAUACCCUCAGACAGAGAGAAAAUGAAUCAAUCCGAGCAAGAAAAUAUACCUUUAGGUGGAGAAAAACUGAAUCAAUUCGAGCAAGAAAAUAUACCUUUAGGUGGACAGAAACUGAAUCAAUUCGAGCCAGAGUAUAUAAUUUCAGGCGGAGAGAAACUGAAUCAAUCUGAACAAGAGAAUAUACCUUUAGGUGGACAGAAACUGAAUCAAUUCGAGCCAGAGUACAUAACUUCAGGCGGAGAGAAACUGAAUCUAUAUGUGCAAGAACACAUACCCUCAGACAGAGAGGAACUGAAUCAAUCUGAACAAGAGAAUAUACCUUUAGGCGGAGAGAAACAGAACGUAAAUGCACAAGAACACAUACCAACAGACGGAGAGAAAAUGAAUCAAUCCGAGUCAGAGUAUAUACCUUCAGGUGGAGAGAAACUGAAUCAAUCCGAGCCAGAGUACAUAACUUCAGGCGGAGAGAAACUGAAUCUAUAUGUGCAAGAACACAUACCCUCAGACAGAGAGGAACUGAAUCAAUCUGAACAAGAGGAUAUAACUUCAGGCGGAGAGAAACGGAAUCAAUCCGAGCCAGAGUACAUAACUUCAGGCGGAGAGAAACGGAAUCAAUCCGAGCAAGAGAAUAUACCUUUAGGCGGAGAGAAACUGAAUCAAUCUGAGUCAGAGUACAUAACUUCAGGCGGAGAGAAACAGAACGUAAAUGCACAAGAACACAUACCAACAGACGGAGAGAAAAUGAAUCAAUCCGAGUCAGAGUAUAUACCUUCAGGUGGAGAGAAACUGAAUCAAUCCGAGCCAGAGUACAUAACUUCAGGCGGAGAGAAACUGAAUCUAUAUGUGCAAGAACACAUACCCUCAGACAGAGAGAAAAUGAAUCAAUCCGAGCAAGAAAAUAUACCUUU
ensembl:lncRNA